ACGGAAGGCAGCAGUGGGGAAUAUUGGACAAUGGGGGAAACCCUGAUCCAGCGACGCCGCGUGAGUGAAGAAGUAUUUCGGUAUGUAAAGCUCUAUCAGCAAGGAAGAAAAUGACGGUACUUGACUAAGAAGCUCCGGCUAAAUACGUGCCAGCAGCCGCGGUAAUACGUAUGGAGCAAGCGUUAUCCGGAUUUACUGGGUGUAAUGGGAGCGUAGACGGCAAAGCAAGUCUGAAGUGAAAUCCCGGGGCUCAACCCCGGAACUGCUUUGGAAACUGUUUAGCUAGAGUGCAGGAGAGGUAAGCGGAAUUCCUAGUGUAGCGGUGAAAUGCGUAGAUAUUAGGAGGAACACCAGUGGCGAAGGCGGCUUACUGGACUGUAACUGACGUUGAGGCUCGAAAGCGUGGGGAGCAAACAGGAUUAGAUACCCUGGUA
rnacentral:rRNA from 1 species